CAUUGACGAUAGCAUGGCACAGAGUAAAGCACAGCUUUAAAAUAUAGAAUAACAUCAAACAACACAUCUUUAGGCAAAUUUAGUACAAGUACAAUGAAAUAGAGAUGUAGGGUUCUAUUGUUGUGUCUCGUCUUCUCGUUCUUUUUGUUCAAAAAGGAAAUAAUCUCAAAAAGUCCUCAAAAGCUGAGUGCGGUAAUGUUUUAUUUGUUGAAAACUGAAAUAUGGGAUCCCACAGACAAAAGCCCAUGAAAAAGAGACCCGAAUUUUCAACCCAAAAUAUUCUACUUGUAUUCGCUGAGAUGGCCCCAUGGUUUAUUCAAUCCUUGCUCCUUCUUUUGUUUUAUGUACCAAAUUCUGCUGACUCGGAAAUUUCCCUGCACAAGGCUAAACGUGUGCCCACUAGGGCUGUCACUUUUUAUUCGAAAUUAGAAUAUUCGUUCGAAAGUGGAGGGAAAAGUCCCUAUUCGAAUGUAAUGACCUGUUCGAAAUCAAAAUGUACAACAGACCGCUUGAAGUAAUUCGCCUUGUGAUCCAGCAGAGGGCGCCCUUGAUUUAGUUUGACCGAUAAACACGCCCGAUUAACUCUUGACCUGUCAAUUCAGCUAGUAGUAUUAUGUUGUUUGCUACGAAAAUGGAGGACGCUAGCAAGCAAAGCCGUCCUGCGUGGACAAUCGCGACACCAAAGCAUCUGAGAUCUAUCUUACUCCACAACGACAAGAAAUCUGCGGACUCACCUGCUAGCUUACAACCACGUAAGCUAACGUUAGCAGUGGAGUAUACAGCCUCGUCUGAUGGAAUACUACUCGGCACACUCAGCUUCACCGGGGGGGGAUUUAUUCGAAUUCAUUCGAAUAAAUUGCGUGUCAUUUCAAAUUCA